UUUCGAUCGUUCAUCCGUAUCUCUAUCUUAUAAUUGUUCGGCGCGAAUAAAUACUUCGUUAAAAAGUUAUAACAAAAAUAUGAAACCUAGAGUUUAUACGUAAGUAUGUAGCGGCACAUGAGUCAUAAGACGAAGCGGAUCGAGAACGAUUCAUAUUGUUAUUGUUGUGCCUCGGAACACGGACACAACCUUUUUUUUUUUUUUUUUUAAUAUUUAUUAAAAUUACAAUCAAUUCUCGCGUUGAGAAUUUUCAGUAAUUUUUCUGGCGUGGCGCAGUAACAUGGCUAAUUAUUUAUUAUAAGUUAAUAUUUGUUAUAGAUAAGUAUAAUUUGCACAUAAGUAUUGUAAUAAGUAAAUGUUACUUAAUUUAAAUAACUAGUUGAAUCUAUCGUUUAGGUCUAGCGGGUAGUGUCUCUUCAGCCUGCGGAUCUGGUCCGUCGUAUCAAGUAGUCCAGUGAUUAGGGGGUUUCGGUUUUGUUUGUUGACUCUUUUGCUAUAUCUGUCGCUAUAUUUUGCUAUUUCUUCUUUGACUGUGGGUAACUUGAGGUCGCGGUGUAUUGUUUUGUUGGUAACAUACCAAGGUGCAUCAAUUAGGGAUCUUAGCGUUGGACACAACGCUCGAAACAUAUCAAUAGCCAAAACAAAGUCAACGUUAUGGGCAACCAUCGAUCUUAGACAAAUUCAAAUUUUUCGACUGCCCCCCGACCAGUAUAAAUAAAGGGACGCGAUUGGAGGCGAGUUAGUAUAUACCGAGUGACACGAAUUAGCGAUCAAUAUCUACGAGUCGGGUUUUCCGCGAGCGAACAUACACUAUCGUUGUGAAUACAGUAAACGAGCGUCUUUCGACAGAUUGUACUUUUAUUUAUUUAUUUAUUUAUUUAAGUUAUUCCAGAUAUAUUUGACGGGUUGUGACAGCAAUCUCUCGCUUCCGUUAUUUUAUAUUGUGUAUCCUCAACCAAUCCUCUAUAAGUACUUAUGUGUGAUGUGAAAAAACUCUAUAAAAUCGCUUUCCUCACCGGAACUUCCUUGCGGCCUAUGAUCUUGCACUGAGGGCGACCGACCAUACCAUACUGGUAGUUACAUGAGCAAUCUUUCUGGAGUUCUAAAUUAAUGAGUCCAUCGACGACCCUUCUUGCCGCUACUUGGACGAAUUGUUUCUUCUGGUUCGGCUUGGCUUCCAAGAAGUUGUUAGAACUGAACGCAGCACCACCAGACUACAAUAUGAUAUCAGAUGAGGAUCACUUGUUGAACACUUACAGAUACCGCAAAGUCAGCGCAGACGUCGUUGACCGCCGGUGAGAGAUUGCUCUUCAUGUCGGUAUUUCCGGUAAGAGGCUUCUUCUUGCUGUCAGCGAACGUGUACACGCUGUCUUGGUCGUAUCCGACGAUAUUCUUUAGAGGUUUGCCCGAGACGAGCAGCUCUUCGGGAUACGACACAUGGUAGUAGGUGAGCCCCAAA